AUAUACGAGUAUAUUAUGCUACUUUGUUACUUGAAUUGUACAUUUACAACAUGUAUGGCAAUUAUACCUAAGUAUAUAUUUCCGAUACCUAUAAAGUAAUUAUAAUAAAGCCUUACAAAAUUGUUGAUGUUACUUACAUUGGUUUAUUGGUAAAAGGAUUAUGUAGGUAUACAGAUUAAAUUAUUAUACAUAGUACAUACCUAUGUUAUGUAUUGUUAAGAUAUAUAUUAAAAAAAAAAAACCAAUUGUAAAUGGUUGAUAGUUUACGAU